rnacentral:rRNA from 1 species
AGCAGCCGCGGUAAUUCCAGCUCCAAUAGCGUAUAUUAAAGUUGUUGCAGUUAAAAAGCUCGUAGUUGAAUUUCGGGAUCAAUAUAUUGGUCAUGCUUAGGUAUGUACUGGUAUUAUUGAUUUCUCCCUUCUGAAGAACCAUAAUGUCAUUAAUUUGAUGUCAUGGGGAAUCAGGACUGUUACUUUGAAAAAAUUAGAGUGUUUAAAGCAGGCUUUCGCUUGAAUACAUUAGCAUGGAAUAAUGAAAUAGGACGUUUGAUUCUAUUUUGUUGGUUUCUAGGAUCGACGUAAUGAUUAAUAGGGAUAGUUGGGGGCAUUAGUAUUCAAUUGUCAGAGGUGAAAUUCUUGGAUUUAUUGAAGACUAACUACUGCGAAAGCAUUUGCCAAGGAUGUUUUCAUUAAUCAAGAACGAAAGUUAGGGGAUCGAAGACGAUCAGAUACCGUCGUAGU